CAGCUUGUACUCUCCACAAAGACUCAACUCAUUUCACUAAUUUUAGCCUCCUCUUCUAUUCUGUCAUCCAGGCCAUGAGCUCUAAAUCAGUCUUGGUGCGCCACGACAAAGAACAUCUCAAUUCCUAAAAUGCAUCUUGAGGAUCGAGGAGGUUUCCUGGAGGAGCUAUGAGCAAGAAUGCACAUGUGUCCAUACUGCAGUGAGCCGAGUGGUCAAAUAUUUGGAACUGACCACAGGAGUACAAUACCCAUCUGCUGAUACAGUCCUCCAUGGGUAUCUUCACUUUGAAGCCCUGACAGGCCAUUACUAUGAAUAUUCAUGUGUGACAUGUGGUGAUCAUCCACCAGUGGUCAUCAUGGACCUCCACAAAAAGGGAGCCUUCCAUUUGCGAGUAAGUGACCUUCCACAACCCCCAGAAGGCUUUAAUGGCGAGGUUGACAUUGGACUUUUUUGGGAGGCACUUUCAAUGGAAAGGAUUGGCCGAGGAUUUGCAACAAGUCACCAAAACAAUCCAUUUGCAGUUCUGCCAACUUUUCAUUUUUGGGCACCAUGGAUUGGCAAAAAUCUUGCAGAGAGCAGAAAGCAGAGAUCUUGCUCAGCAAAUUAAUCCUGGGAACUGGACUGAGAAGACUGGGCAUGAUAUUGUGGUGACUAAAGAUGUAUAAUUAGCUACUUCAAAAAAAAUAUUACUGUUGCCCCUAC